rnacentral:rRNA from 1 species
AACUCCCAACCCCUGUGACAUACCACUUGUUGCCUCGGCGGAUCAGCCCGCUCCCGGUAAAACGGGACGGCCCGCCAGAGGACCCCUAAACUCUGUUUCUAUAUGUAACUUCUGAGUAAAACCAUAAAUAAAUCAAAACUUUCAACAACGGAUCUCUUGGUUCUGGCAUCGAUGAAGAACGCAGCAAAAUGCGAUAAGUAAUGUGAAUUGCAGAAUUCAGUGAAUCAUCGAAUCUUUGAACGCACAUUGCGCCCGCCAGUAUUCUGGCGGGCAUGCCUGUUCGAGCGUCAUUUCAACCCUCAAGCACAGCUUGGUGUUGGGACUCGCGUUAAUUCGCGUUCCUCAAAUUGAUUGGCGGUCACGUCGAGCUUCCAUAGCGUAGUAGUAAAACCCUCGUUACUGGUAAUCGUCGCGGCCACGCCGUUAAACCCCAACUUCUGAAUGUUGACCUCGGAUCAGGUAGGAAUACCCGCUGAACUUAAGCAUAUCAAUAAGCGGAGGAA